AAAGCCCGCCGGUGGAUGGCUCGGCUCGGCUCGCCGAGGAAGGGCGUGGCAAGCUGCGAUAAGCCCCGGGGAGGUGCAGGCAACCGUUGAUCCGGGGAUCCCCGAAUGGGACUUCCUGCCCUACCUGCUCCUCGUGGGCAGGUAGGGCGACCGCGGCAUUCCCUUAUCGGGGUGCCGUGGUCGGGAACCCCCCGAAGUGAAACAUCUCAGUAGGGGGAGGAAGAGAAACCGAAGCGGGAUCCCCCGAGUAGGGGCGACCGAAAGGGGGAGAGGGCAAACCGAACCCCAUGCAGCAAUGCAUGGGGGAUGUGGAGUUGCGCGACCUCCUCAUAGCAUCCUCUAGGGGAAGCCGAAGUGGGCUGGAAUGCCCCGCCAUAGAGGGUGAAAGCCCCGUAGGCGUAACCCUGGAGGAUGCUGAGGAGGUUCGCGAGUAGCGUAGCCUGGUUCAGGCUGCGCGAAUCUGGGGGCACAGGCCUCCAACCCUAAACACGAGCCGAGACCGAUAGCGAACUAGUACCGUGAGGGAAAGCUGAAAAGAACCCCGGGAGGGGGUUGAAAAGAGCCUGAAACCGGCGGGCCACACAGGGGUGAGGCGCAGAAGGCCUCUCCUCAAUCCCCCCUAGGCAACGAAGGGGGGAGAGAGGAGAGGAUCCAGCGUCUCACCUUCCGUCUUGAAACACGGGCCGGGGAGUUCUCCUCCACGGCGAGUCUAAGGGGUUCAACCCCGUAGGCGCAGGGAAACCGACAUGCGCGCACCCACCCUUUGUGGGUGGGGAGGCGCGGGGUGUUAAAAGCGCCCGGAGCCGUGGGGGAGAGACCAGAAGCCGGGCGAUCUACCCCCGGGCAGGGCGAAGCCGGGCGAAAGCCUGGUGGAGGCCCGAAGGGGUGCUGACGUGCAGUUCGCUCCCGUGACCCGGGGGUAGGGGCGAAAGACCAAUCUAGCCCGGUGAUAGCUGGUUCCCCGCGAAGUAGGUCGCAGCCUAGCCUGGGGCGAGGUAGCCGGCGGUGUAGAGCACCGAUUGGGUGGCAAGGGGGCUCUGCCUCCACCACCCUUUCGAACUCCGAAGCCGCCGGCGCCGUAGACCCCCAGAGUCGGGCCUGGGGGGUAAGCUCCCAGGCCGAAAGGGGGACAACCCAGCCCGGGGUUAAGGCCCCUAAGUGCCCGCUAAGUGUGAACCGAAGGGAGUCCCCACCCUAAGACAGCGGGGAGGUAGGCUUAGAAGCAGCCACCCUCUAAGGAGUGCGUAACAGCUCACCCGCCGAGGGUGGGGGCCCCGAAAAUGGACGGGGCUCAAGCGGGCCGCCGAUACCCCGGGGCACCCUCCACUGUGGAGGGUGAUCCGGUAGCGGGGCGUCGAGGCCGGGUAGAAGCUGGUCCGUGAGGACCAGUGGACCGGCCUCGAUUGCAGAUCCCGGCGGUAGUAGCAGCAAAGCCGGGUGAGAAUCCCGGCCGCCGAAGGGGCAAGGGUUCCUCGGCAAUGCUUCGUCAGCCGAGGGUUAGCCGGUCCUAAGGGGGGCGGUAACUCCGUUCCCCCGAACAAGGGAAGCCGGUUAAUAUUCCGGCGCCACGGUGGCGCUUGCGGCAACGCAAAGGUGGCGGCCCGCCUCCGGAUAGGGGGAGCCGGGCCACCGCCCGGUCUAACUGCUGAACCCCGCUGAGAACCGUCAUGGUGAGAGGCGGGGGAAGGCAGGAAUGGCGCCCCGUUAGUAGGGGCGUUCCCCCGAGUCCGGGGGCCAUUGAAAAGCCGCCACCAUAUGCGCCACCGUGACCGUACCCAGAACCGACACAGGUGCCCCUAGCUGAGGAGGCUCAGGCGUGUCGGGAUACCCCGGGCGAGGGAACUCGGCAAAUUAGCCCCGUACCUUCGGUAGAAGGGGUGCCUGCGGCCCACCCCGAAAGGGUGGGAUCGCAGGUCGCAGUGACUAGGGGGGCCCGACUGUUUAAUAAAAACAUAGCUUCCCGCUAGGCCGAAAGGCUGUGUACGGGAAGUGAAUCCUGGCCAGUGGCGGUUCGUGAAGCGGGCCGUACAAGGCCCGUAAGCGCCGCUAAACGCCGGGGGUAACUCUGACCCUCUUAACGGGGGUUCCAAUAGGACCCCCGGGAGAUAGGUAGCCAAAUGCCUUGUCGGGUAAGUUCCGACGCGCAUGAACGGAUCAACGAGGUCCCCACUGUCCCCGCCCGGGACCCGGCGAACCCACGCCCUAGCGAACAGUCUAGGGACCCCCAGCGGGAAGAGAAGACCCUGUGGAGCUUAACUGCAGCCUGUCGUUGCGAUAUGGUUGGAGGUACAAAGCGUAGGUGGGAGCCAAUGAGUACGCCUCUCCGGGGGCGUAGGAGGCGCCCAUGAGACACCACCUGCCUCCAACCAUAUCGCUAACCCGCCCGAAAGGGCGGGGACAGCGGCAGGUGGGCAGUUUGGCUGGGGCGGCACGCCCUCGAAAAGAUAUCGAGGGCGCCCAAAGGUCCCCUCACCCGGGACAGAAACCCGGGGUAGAGGGCAAGGCCAAAAGGGGGCCUGACGGGGUCCUUGACAAUAAGGGACCCCGGGGCGAAAGCCGGGCCUAGCGAUCCGUUGCCUCCCUCCUGUGGGGGGCAGCGGUGACAGAAAAGUUACCCCAGGGGUAACAGAGUCGUCGCGGGCGAGAGUCCACAUCGACCCCGCGGCUUGCUUCCUCGAUGUCGGCUCUUCCCACCCUGGCGGUGCAUAAGCCGCCAAGGGUGAGGCUGCCCGCCUAUUAAAGGGGAACGUGAGCUGGGUUUAGACCGUCGCGAGACAGGUCGGACUCUAUCUGCUGGGGGUGUUGGCCGCCUGAGGGUAAGGUGCCCUCAGUACGAGAGGAACGGGGCGCCGCGGCCUCUGGUGUACCGGUUGUGCGGCCGCGCAUCGCCGGGUAGCUAAGCCGCCGGGGAUAAGGGCUGAAGGCAUCUAAGCCCGAAGCCCCUCCCGAAAAUAGGCGGCCAU
rnacentral:rRNA from 1 species